UUCCUCGAGCCGGAUUUGAAACAGCGACCUAAGGAUCACCGUUGUAACAUCCACAGUCCUCCGCUCUGCCAACUGAGCUAUCGAGGGA
rnacentral:tRNA from 1 species